rnacentral:rRNA from 1 species
CGCGUGAGCGAUGAAGGCCUUCGGGUCGUAAAGCUCUGUCCUCAAGGAAGAUAAUGACGGUACUUGAGUAGGAAGCCCCGGCUAACUACGUGCCAGCAGCCGCGGUAAUACGUAGGGGGCUAGCGUUAUCCGGAAUUACUGGGCGUAAAGGGUGCGUAGGUGGUUUCUUAAGUCAGAGGUGAAAGGCUACGGCUCAACCGUAGUAAGCCUUUGAAACUGGGAAACUUGAGUGCAGGAGAGGAGAGUGGAAUUCCUAGCGUAGCGGUGAAAUGCGUAGAUAUUAGGAGGAACACCAGUUGCGAAGGCGGCUCUCUGGACUGUAACUGACACUGAGGCACGAAAGCGUGGGGAGCAAACAGGAUUAGAUACCCUGGUAGUCCACGCCGUAAACGAUGAGUACUAGCUGUCGGAGGUUACCCCCUUCGGUGGCGCAGCUAACGCAUUAAGUACUCCGCCUGGGAAGUAC